CGGCUAUUUUUUACCGCCAAAAAUUCUCUCUCACACGUUCUAUCACAACAAGUCAACAACAGUUUUCUCUCACCCACGGUUCUCUCCCCAUAGCAAUUUGAUAUCUCUCUCAGACGGUUCGAUCACAAUACGAUUAUUUCUCAAAAUCAAUUUAAUUUCUCCUACUAUUCUCCAUCCAUAUAUGUAUUAACUAGGAUGCAACUGUUUCGAAUUGAAGCACAGUAAAUGUUUAAUGGAAGAAGAAGCACAGAUACAGAGCAUGAGACCAGAUCUAAGAGCGACAAUAUGGAAGACACAUAUGGGGAUGAUCAAGAUGCCACAUUGCCGAGGAAGAAGAGAUCUAUCGGCUUCCAGCAAUAAAAUGAGGGGAAAGUUCGAACUCGCAUUAAGGAUUGUAAAGUUGAUGACAAAAGAUGGAGAAAUUUUGAGGCGUGGAGUAUGUUCAAGAAAUUGAAAGAGGUAAUUAUUGCCUCGCAUCUCUUUUUAUUUACAUUUAUUGAAUAUUCUUCAUUAUAUACUUUGGCAUCAAACAAUUGAAAUUAACAAGGAUGAAGGUGGUAUAAUCAUGGAUCUAUUUUCCCUUUUCUUUUCUUCUUUUCUAAACAAAUAGAGUGCCAGUAGUGUUGCCGAUAGGAGCGGUGUGAUCUUCUUUAUUUGAAACAAAAUUGGGAAUGUUGCUUUGUUAUUAAAACUCCUCUAUUUAAGCCUCUACAAGUUCUGUAAUGUAUGGUUUCAUUAUCAAUUCAUGUGGAUUAUAUUUUGGAUACUAACAUUGAGAAACAUGUCUAGAAUAAUUUUUUGGAAUAAUGCAUGUAUUUUAGAAUAGAUGAGUAUAUGUUAUGAUAUUAUUGGAAUGUGGUUAAAAUAUGAACUGUUUUACAUAUAUUUUGUCAUCAUUUACAUUUCUUCUCGAAUUUGAUUUAUGAUACUUACUAUUUUUCUUAUUUCCCAUAUAGGAACAAAAUAGAAAUGGAAUGAAAAAAAAGUGGUAAAAGUUUAUUUAUCUUGAACAAUAAGUUUAGAUUUUAUGGAGACUGCAUCCUCUGAAUGUUUGUAAAAUGAUGGAUAUCUAUAAUGAUUUUCAGUUGUUUGUCACUUGGUAUAAUUUCGAAAGGAUUUUGGUAGUUUGAGCCGAACUUCUGUUUUUUACAUACUUAGGUAGGCUCACUACCUGAUCUGGGAAAUAGUCCAAUAGCCAGGAUGUUGUCUUAGGUUUAUUGACUAAUAUAUAUAAUCGAGAACUAAUUGUUCGACUUGACCAAUUUUAUAAUUUCUGUAGAUUUAACACAUGAACACGCUGAUGUUGUUCUUAGUUUUGAUGAUAUACGUGUUGUGCAAUUUUUUUUAGUCCAACAAAUGACAUUAACCUGACUCCCAUCUAUCUUACUCAAGAUUUAAUGGAAAGGUAUAUUGCAUUUUGAAAGAGUUACCUAUACUAACCGUGAUAGAAAUUGUGAUACUUUUCUCUGCCAUAAGUUGAUCAUCAAUCUUAAUAUUGACGUGUUGAUUCUAACUAAAAUGAGUUAGAUGUGAGCUCUUCCACCAAGGCACCAAGGCAUAGGUGCUAGCAUGGUUGGAGAGGACCAUAGUCGAGAUGUUUAGAUGUGGAGAUUACAUCAUGGCAUCCAAGGCUAUAUCGAGUACACAAAGAACAUCCUCUUGCAUUUUUUUUGAGUUAAAAUGUUUUAUUUAUUUAUUUAUAGUAUUUAUGUAUGGAUUGUGAUAUACUAUGUAGGUAUAUAUUUGUAGGAUAGAAAGAGUUUAAAGUUAUUGGGCAGCAAAGCAACUGAAGUUAUUGCUCAAUAUCAUGAGGUUGAAAAAUCUGAUGUAAGUGCCCCUGAUAUUGAAAAUAGUUUGAUUGGUCAAGUUAUUCUCUUCAAGGUUCAACAUAUAAAUGAGAGUGAGUUUAGAAAGGAUCGUCCCUACACUGUGAAUAAGAUUAGUAACAAAAUAUUUCACUCACAUUGUUCUCUUGCUUUAAUUCCAUUAUACUAUAUAGGGUGAGGCGAACAAUUAAGACGUUAAUAUCUUGAUUUGAUAUGUGUUAUGAGAGGGAUAUAUAGGCUUAUCACUUUUUUACA